rnacentral:rRNA from 1 species
UACCGUCAGGCCUAACGUGUAUUAUACGUUAGGAGGUUCUUCCCCUCUGACAGAGCUUUACGACCCAAGAGCCUUCAUCACUCACGCGGUAUUGCUGCGUCAGGCUUUCGCCCAUUGCGCAAAAAUUCCCCCA